rnacentral:rRNA from 1 species
CCCAGUUCGGACUGGAGUCUGCAACCCGACUCCACGAAGUUGGAUUCGCUAGUAAUCGCGCAUCAGCCAUGGCGCGGUGAAUACGUUCCCGGGCCUUGUACACACCGCCCGUCAAGCCAUGGGAGCCGGGGGCGCCUGAAGUCCGGGACCGCGAGGACCGGCCUAGGGCGAAACUGGUAACUGGGGCUAAGUCGUAACAAGGUAAC